AUUGAACGCUGGCGGCAGGCUUAACACAUGCAAGUCGAACGAGUGGCGGACGGGUGAGUAAUGCUUGGGAAUCUAGCUUAUGGAGGGGGAUAACUACGGGAAACUGUAGCUAAUACCGCGUACCAUAGGAUCAGCCCAAGUGGGAUUAGGUAGUUGGUUAGGUAAAGGCUCACCAAGCCGACGAUCUCUAGCUGGUCUGAGAGAAUGACCAGCAAAACUGGGACUGAGACACGGCCCAGACUCCUACGGGAGGCAGCAGUGGGGAAUGUUGCGCAAUGGGGACAAGCGAACGAAGCCAUGCCGCGUGGAUGAAGAAGGCCUUCGGGUUGUAAAGUUCUUACGGUAGCGAGGCGUUAACUGCAGAAGAAGCACCGGCUAACUCCGUGCCAGCCGCAGCGGUAAUUC
rnacentral:rRNA from 1 species